rnacentral:rRNA from 1 species
GAUGAACGCUAGCGGCAGGCUUAAUACAUGCAAGUCGAGGGGCAGCAUGAUUGUAGCAAUACAAUUGAUGGCGACCGGCAAACGGGUGCGGAACACGUACACAACCUUCCAAUAAGUGGGGAAUAGCCCAGAGAAAUUUGGAUUAAUACCCCGUAACAUAACGAUGUGGCAUCACAUUGUUAUUAUAGAUUUUUCGCUUAUUGAUGGGUGUGCGCGCUGAUUAGAUAGUUGGCGGGGUAACGGCCCACCAAGUCUACGAUCAGUAGCGGAUGUGGGAGCAUGAUCAGCCACACGGGCACUGAGACACGGGCCCGACUCCUACGGGAGGCAGCAGUAAGGAAUAUUGGACAAUGGACGCAAGUCUGAUCCAGCCAUGCCGCGUGAAGGAUUAAGGUCCUCUGGAUUGUAAACUUCUUUUAUAAGGGACGAAAAAAGGCUUUUCUAAGUCGUCUGACGGUACCUUAUGAGUAAGCACCGGCUAACUCCGUGCCAGCCGCCGCGGUAACAC